CCUACGGGUGGCUGCAGUGAGGAAUAUUGGUCAAUGGACGAGAGUCUGAUCCAGCCAAGCAGCGUGAAGGAUGACUGCCCUAUGGGUUUUAAACUUCUUUUAUAUGGGAAUAAAAUGUUCCACGUGUGGGAUUUUGUAUGGACCAUAUGAAUAAGGAUCGGCUAACUCCGUGCCAUCAGCCGCGGUAAUACGGAGGAUCCGAGCGUUAUCCGGAUUGAUUGGGUUUAAAGGGAGCGUAGGUGGAUUGUUAAGUCAGUUGUGAAAGUUUGCGGCUCAACCGUAAAAUUGCAGUUGAAACUGGCAGUCUUGAGUACAGUAGAGGUGGGCGGAAUUCGUGGUGUAGCGGUGAAAUGUGUAGAUAUCACGAAGAACACCGAUUGCGAAGGCAGCUCACUGGACUGCAACUGACACUGAGGUUCGAAAGUGUGGGUAUCAAACAGGAUUAGAUACCCUGGUAGUC
rnacentral:rRNA from 1 species